UACGAAGGAUGCAAGCGUUAUCCGGAAUUAUUGGGUUUAAAGGGUGCGUAGGCGGACUGAUAAGUCAGUGGUGAAAGCCUGCAGCUUAACUGCAGAAUUGCCGUUGAUACUGUCAGUCUUGAGUACAGUUGAGGUAGGCGGAAUGUGUCAUGUAGCGGUGAAAUGCUUAGAUAUGACACAGAACACCGAUUGCGAAGGCAGCUUGCUAAGCUGUAACUGACGCUGAGGCACGAAAGCGUGGGGAGCAAAC
rnacentral:rRNA from 1 species